GGGCAAUGCCACCUUUGUCCUUCACUGUGUCCACAAAUGAUAAGAAGUUGAUGCUGUACGUUUCAAUUGGUAUUGCUGCAUUAGUGGUGGUAGUAAUACUAAUUCCCAUGUCAGCUUGCCUAUUGAACAAGAAGGGUGGGAGGAGUCAUAGGGACCGCCAGUAACCUGCAAGCAGGAAGUGAUACAGCCAGUGUGCUUCCUCAGAUCCCCUCAACUCAGGUAUUUUUCUACAGGCUGUUCUGUCUGUGAUUAUAAUGUAUACAUCUUCUGAGUUGUUAAAGCCAUUAGCCUACAUUUACUCUUGUUGUGUCGGGAUAACGGGAAUGCAUCUGAGAGUGGCCCUAACUCUAUCCACAGGAAAGAGCAGAAAGACGGCAGCAGU